AUAAAGUUUUAUUCUAGCUUGAAAAUUUAAUUUUUAGAUUCAUUUAUAUGUAAAUUUUAGUGUUUUUGGUGUACCUAUUAAAUAUGGGUAUAUAAAUUGUUUACAUUCGCAGUAUAUAAUUUUAAAUAUUAAGGAGAUUUAGAUUUAGGGAUUUAUAAUAAUAUUGACAAAAUUUGUGCCAGCAGUUGCGGUUAUACAGAUAAUGUAAUUAAAUUUGUUCAGUUAAUAGUUAACUUAAUUUUGUUUUAGUUAAUGCUUGUAUUUAUUAGGUGAAAUUUUAAAUACCAUCUAAGCUAUAAAUUGUAAAGUGAAGCUAUGAAAUUUCUAUAGUAAACUAGGAUUAGAUACCCUAUUAUUGGAAAUUUAAACAAUAAAUGCUUGAGUAGUAGUAGUUAUGUUCUUGAAAUUAAAAGAAUUUGGCGGUAUUUUAGUCUAUUCAGAGGAACCUGUCCUGUAAUUGAUAUUCCACGAUUAAUUGAACUUAUUUUAAAGGUUUGUAUACCGUCGUAGGUUGAAUGUUUUAAAAGAAAGUAAAUGUUCAAGAUUUAGAAUUAUAAAUUAAAUCAGAUCAAGGUACAGCGGAUAGAUAAGUAGAGAUGGGUUACAAUAAAUUUAUUUAUAUGGAUAUAAUAAUUAACAUUGUUAUUUAAAGUGGAUUUGAAUGUAAUAUGAUUUAGUUAAGUUGUAUGAUUUUAGCCCUAAAAUAUGCACAUAUCGCCCGUCGCUCCCACUCUAAAGUGGGAUAAGUCGUAACAGAGUAGGCGUACUGGAAAGUGUGCCUAGAAAGU
rnacentral:ncRNA from 1 species